AUUGAACGCUGGCGGCAUGCCUUACACAUGCAAGUCGAACGGCAGCAUGGAGAGCUUGCUCUCUGAUGGCGAGUGGCGAACGGGUGAGUAAUGCAUCGGAACGUACCGUGUAAUGGGGGAUAACGUAGCGAAAGUUACGCUAAUACCGCAUACGACCCGAGGGUGAAAGCAGGGGAUCGCAAGACCUUGCGUUAUACGAGCGGCCGAUGUCAGAUUAGCUAGUUGGUGAGGUAAAGGCUCACCAAGGCGACGAUCUGUAGCGGGUCUGAGAGGAUGAUCCGCCACACUGGGACUGAGAAACGGCCCAGACUCCUACGGGAGGCAGCAGUGGGGAAUUUUGGACAAUGGGGGCAACCCUGAUCCAGCCAUGCCGCGUGAGUGAAGAAGGCCUUCGGGUUGUAAAGCUCUUUCGGCCGGGAAGAAAUCGCACAGGCUAAUACUCUGUGUGGAUGACGGUACCGGCAUAAGAAGCACCGGCUAACUACGUGCCAGCCGCCGCAGUAA
rnacentral:rRNA from 1 species